ensembl:lncRNA
ACGAGACCUUGUUUAGUCUUAACGCGUUGUUUACAGGAUGUUUAUUGGCUGCGUUGCAUGAUGAUGUUCUGCCCGUCUUCUGCCUUAUUUAUGUUAUUUAUGUCCGUGUUUGUCGCGUCGUCGUCGUCGGGGUCCACUCUCACGUGUUCUGAGCGAGCGUUGAAGGAUCCGUAGGGCGCAGAAGGCCGUAGAGUUCGUGUCUGUACAUAAGGAACAGAGUUCGCUGUGUGGAUUUUUCGACUGUGGUAUAUUUUCAUACGAGAGAACUUUUUCUUUUUUUUUCUUUUCUUUUCCUUUUUCCUGAUCUGCGUUCGUUCUUUGAAACCGAGGGAAGAGUUACCUUUUAUAUAUUCAUGUUUUUAUUACCCUUUUGGAAGCUCAUGUGUAAAUAUUUUUGUUAAUAUGUUUUUUUUCAGACGUCUUUUUGCAUGUCAAGACAGUGUUGGUUGGAGACAGUAACUAAGGGGUUAAUGCACAGGACGGAAUUGGUGGGGAAUUCAAUAUGAGUCUUUUUACUGGAAUAAAGUAUGUAUAUUUUCACAGAAAAAGUGGUGCUGAUCUCAUUGAACUGAUAAACUGUUCCUUGGUAAUACUAAAAGUAGAGAAGAACAUUUCCUAAAAUAGCUGCAGAAUCUCCUUUUAAGAUUGUCAUUUAACUAAGAAAAUGUUUCUUCACAACACUACCAUGAGGGUCAACACAAACAGUCCAAACCAGCUGCAGAAUCUCAUUUAAGAUUCUCAUUUAACUAAAACCAUCGCCCUCCAUAACCCUACCCUGAAAGAGUAAAUAAAUGUCAGAAAUAGUUGCAGAAUCUCUUUGAAGAUUCUCAUUUAACUAAUAAGAUGUCCCUUCAUAAAUACCAAAAAAAUAAAGAGUCAAGAAAAUGUCGAAAAUAGCUGCACAAUUAUAAAGUUUUUAUUUUGUCUACAAAAUAGAAAUACAAAAAAACCAAGACUUUCAAAACCGAUCACCCCCCCAUACACAAAUAUACAUGCAUCAAACAUCCAAGCACAUACAAAACUACACAAACUCAUAUGAUGGCAAAACACUUUUAAUUACCCAACUUCAAGACAUUUGGGCAGUGGACCACAGACCUCAAGAAACCAAAAGGGGGGCGUGGCUCCCCAACGCACCAUCCACCACCCAUGUGACCCGACAACGGUAACACAGCAGAGAGCAGAUGGCCACGUGUGAGAGAGACACUUCCUCUUUUUCUCUCUCUCUUUUUCGUCCUUCCUCAUUUGCGCCCCAGGGUGCCGCUCCAGCGUGCCGCCCUCGCCGCUCUCGGUUCUCUGCCUCCCGUAGCCAACAGUACACUCAUCCAUAAAGUAGGAAACACUACACUGUGGGCGAGGAGUUUAGUAGUGCUUUCUACUUUAUGGAUGACUGCACUGUACAUCCAAUCGUCCUUUGCCGUCGCUUGUCCGGUUCCUCCUCCUCCUUCUCCUCCUCUUCACUCGCACUCCCUGCACGAGCGCCCUGGCACUCUGACCACUUCGCCAGCUUGUACUUAUUUUCAGUUUCUUCCUCCUGACGAGCGCCACUAGCCUGCCCUUGCCGCUUC